rnacentral:miRNA from 1 species
GUGGGAAGUGACAAGGGGUAG